rnacentral:tRNA from 1 species
UCCCGUGUAGCUCAGUUGGUAGAGCAUGGUGUUUGCAACACCAGGUUUUGUGGGUUUGAUUCCCACGGGGGAC